ensembl:lncRNA
CACAGAGAAAGCAUCAGAGCUGGACAGGGACCCCAACAGUGCUGCAGCUGCAAAACACACACUCGUAGCCCUACGCCAUCCUAGCAAGCUAUUGGCCCAUUUUACAGUUAGGAAAACAGAGGCACUGCUGAUGCUGCCAUGCCAGGUGCUGGGGGCUGACACCAGACAAGCAAGGCGCUGAAUCCCCUCGGUGCAUCUCAGCCAUUGGCUUCAACCUUGCUCCUGCCAGCCUCUCCUCUGCCAAAUUCCAUACGAGGUCAAGAUGAAUUAACAGACCCCCAAGCCAUGGACCACCUGGCCAGAGAAUCAUAAACCACAGAUAUCCUGACUUCAAAACCUCAAUUAAGGAAAGUCAUAGAAACGUCACAUGAUUGAUCCUGGUCUCUUUCUUC